GCUUGAUGAUCAGACUGACUGUUUCUUGAACUUAAUGACAGUGUUCAUUCCUACAAGGAAAAUCUGAGGUC